AGGCAUGUAUACCAAGGGAUAAAAAUGUAAAUAAAUGCAUAUUAGUAUUAUGUUCAGAUCCAGUUCUAUUUAAAUCUGUAGCCCCAUCAACUAACCCUAGAAAAUCUCUUAAUCGCUUCGACGCCUUUGAUGUUCAGAUCUUCCGGUGGUCGUGUCGCAGGUGACUUUCGCCCUUGUAUGCGACGAGCCUUUCUCAAACGGAAAAAUUUCAGCAGGGCGAAAGUCGUCUGUGACCCGAUAAUGGAAGAUCUAGUUAUCAAAGGCUUCUAGGGGCGUUUUCAUGUCGACUUCAUUCCUAUCUCUAAGCAGAGAAUUCUCCCAGGGAUGAAUGGAGAAGGAAAUCAGUUCAGACAACUCUAUUAGCAAGGGAAAGAUAAAAUGAUUGAUUCUGUUUAAAAAAAAAAAAUAUGAUGGAUGCAGAUCACAAAAAUUACAAGUAAUGUUAUUGGGUGUCCGGCCAGUAGAUACCAAAAUGAAAUUGGGAAACUCGUAGAAAGAGAUAUGUCCGACAGCUUGGAGAAAGAUGUGUUCAUGGUAAUGGGACCAGAAAGAAAGAAAGAAGAGGAAGAAAGAAGAGAGGAAAAACUUGUGUUGUCUUCAGUGUUUUCAAAGAUGUCUGAUGAUCCUCUUGGUUGUUACUUAAUGAUCAUAACUACGAUCAAGCAAGUAUCUGCUACCAGUUUAUGCAAAUACUUGUCCUAACUUGUAAAGUUUUUUUUCGUUUUGGUCAUGAUUUGUAAAAUUAAAGGAAGUAUUCCAUUAAAAUAAUCAUUUGUUCAGUAAA